UACGUAGGGAGCAAGCGUUGUUCGGAUUUACUGGGCGUAAAGGGCGCGUAGGCGGCGCGGUAAGUCACUUGUGAAAUCUCUGAGCUUAACUCAGAACGGCCAAGUGAUACUGCAGUGCUAGAGUGCAGAAAGGGCAAUCGGAAUUCUUGGUGUAGCGGUGAAAUGCGUAGAUAUCAGGAGGAACACCAAUAGCGAAGGCAGCUCGCUGGGACGGUACUGACGCUGAGGCGCGAAAGCGUGGGGAGCAAACAGG
rnacentral:rRNA from 1 species